GAUGAACGCUGGCGGCGUGCCUAAUACAUGCAAGUCGAGCGAACAGACGAGGAGCUUGCUCCUCUGACGUUAGCGGCGGACGGGUGAGUAACACGUGGAUAACCUACCUAUAAGACUGGGAUAACUUCGGGAAACCGGAGCUAAUACCGGAUAAUAUAUUGAACCGCAUGGUUCAAUAGCGAAAGACGGUUUUGCUGUCACUUAUAGAUGGAUCCGCGCCGCAUUAGCUAGUUGGUAAGGUAACGGCUUACCAAGGCAACGAUGCGUAGCCGACCUGAGAGGGUGAUCGGCCACACUGGAACUGAGACACGGUCCAGACUCCUACGGGAGGCAGCAGUAGGGAAUCUUCCGCAAUGGGCGAAAGCCUGACGGAGCAACGCCGCGUGAGUGAUGAAGGUCUUCGGAUCGUAAAACUCUGUUAUUAGGGAAGAACAAAUGUGUAAGUAACUAUGCACGUCUUGACGGUACCUAAUCAGAAAGCCGCGGCUAACUACGUG
rnacentral:rRNA from 1 species